CCUACGGGAGGCAGCAGUGGGGAAUCUUGCGCAAUGGGCGAAAGCCUGACGCAGCAACGCCGCGUGCGGGAAGAAGGCUUUCGGGCUGUAAACCGCUUUCAGCAGGAACGAAAAUGACGGUACCUGCAGAAGAAGGAGCGGCCAACUAUGUGCCAGCAGCCGCGGUGAUACAUAGGCUUCAAGCGUUGUCCGGAUUUAUUGGGCGUAAAGAGUUCGUAGGCGGUCGAGUAAGUCGGGUGUGAAAAUUCUGGGGCUCAACCCCAGAGACGCCACCCGAUACUGCUUGACUUGAGUUCGAUAGGGGAGUGGGGAAUUCCUAGUGUAGCGGUGAAAUGCGCAGAUAUUAGGAGGAACACCGGUGGCGAAGGCGCCACUCUGGAUCGAUACUGACGCUGAGGAACGAAAGCAUGGGUAGCAAACAGGAUUAGAUACCCUGGUAGUCCAUGCCGUAAACGGUGGGCACUAGGUGUGGGUUUCUAUUAACGAAGUCCGCGCCGUCGCUAACGCAUUAAGUGCCCCGCCUGGGGAGUACGUCGCAGACUAACUACAANAGAGUAGACGGCGUGAGACGCGCCGACGGACGACGACGAGGGAGGUAGG
rnacentral:rRNA from 1 species